ensembl:lncRNA
UUGGGGAAGGUGGUUUCACAAAGCUUUAUUGGAUUCCUUGGGGACGCAGCGGGGUGGGGGGCAGGAUCGUCGCUGCGGAGGAUCCUGGCUGGGCCGGCCUGGGAGAGGCAGGGUCUGGGCAGCAGCUGACAAGAGAACAGUGGUGAGAGGUGCCCGGGCCUCUGCCACAAGGAGGGAGACGGUGGGGGUGGGGCAGGCUGGACCCAGGGGGAGGUGCAGGCCAAGGAGAAGGCCCACGGGUCCCAGGGGAGGGAGGAGGCAGAGGGAUCAGCAUGCACGGAGGCUCAGAGGCAAGAGAGCAGCUGGGAUUCCCCCAGGGCCCCAGAAGGCCUGGGGAGGGGGCUGGGGAGAGGGAGCGCUGAGGCCUCUGGGCAAGCUCACGGCCAGGACAUACCUGUUGCUCUUCGACAUGCUUGGCCAGGUGUGCUAGCUGCCCCUGCUCCCCACCGAAGCCCCAGGGGGGCCCUCCUGCGGGGGGGCGCCUCAGCGCCCCACGGGGAGUCUCAGCAUCCAUCUGUCUGGCAUCUGGGAGCUUCGUUACCUGGAGGGAGACACAGGCCGGGAGGCCCCUCUCCCGACACCCACACAGGGCAGUAUGGGGGAGAGGCCAGAGAGGAUGGUCUGGGGAGCAAGGUUUCUGGGGAGCAGCGACGCCCUCCCUGCUCUACCCAGGGGCCCCAGCCACCUGCCCAACCCCCUCCCCCCAUCCAAGUUGCUCCUGGACACCCAGGAGACCCAGGCCAACUUGUCCUUCCCUUUCUUUCCCCGGCCCGCCCCCUGCUGGAGCUGCCGCAGGGCAGGCAGGAAGGAGGCGGUUGGCCCAGCCAGCCCACUGGCGUGGGCACAGCCCAGGCUCCAACUCUGGUCCCCCAGGGCCUGAGGCCUGGAUCUUCCAGGUCCCAGGUAAGACUUGCCCUAAGACUUGGCCUCAGGUGAGGGCAAGUCAGGACAAGACGUGGGCAGCUGGGAGGAAGCUGCCUGGGGAGGCGGGGAAAGGGGCAGGGGCUGCUUGGGAGGGAAAAGGGUUUAGGAGGCGGAAGAGAGGGAGGGAGGGCCGGGCAGAGACAGAGGAGCAAGAGUCUCUGCAUGGGGCCUGCGUCCCAAAGGCCACUUGGAGCUCGGACUGUCCUCACCUGCACAAGGGGCUGUGGGAGCCGGAUGGUCUGAUGUCCCGGAAUCCCAAAACGCGGGGUGGAGCCGGCUGGCCCGAGGAACAGGAGCAGAUCCGCCAGGACGCCGACAGUCCUGAGGCCAAGCACAGCUCACCCGAGCCUCCCUGGGGCCAGAGGGCCUAUGGGCCAGUGGUCUCCCUGGGCUGCCCGCAGAGGCUCCGGAGGGACCAGGCUUACCUGUGCUCCAGGCCACUCCUUCCCCACACCCCUGCCACCACCACCUCAUCCCAGGCGGCGCCAAAGGCCCUCCCAGCCAGGCGAUGUCCCUGUGGCCUGGGGCGGCAGCGUCGGCUUUUUUAUUUUCUGAGGCUAAAUGUGGGAAGGGGGUAGGGAGGACAGCCCCAUGGCCCUGGCCCGGUUCCUGUGUAUGUGCGGUGGGGACAGGGCACAGGUCUGAGACUGCCACUUCCCAGAAAUUAAGGAAUCAGGGCUGGAGAGUCUGUCCAACAAAAGUUGGGACUCCCAUGACCCCUGCCCAGGAGCGGGCAAACUCAGGGCCCCAGAAUGUCCUUCAGAGACUAGCCAAGUAGAACGCUUCUCUUCUCUUCUCCCCGCCAGCCACGACCCCGACUCCGCGGCCCAGCAAAAAAUAAGUCAAGGAACCACGGAUUCGCCAGCUCAGAGAUGCUCUGCGGGGGGUGGGGGAGCAUGCAAGGGGGACGCCCCCAAUCCAGGUUUUGGGAUCAGGAAGAAUCCCCUAACUCACCUAAAGACCCCUACCCACGGUGCUGAUGGGCAGUGCCGGCGGCGCGAACAGCGGGGACCGGGAUGAGGCGGCCUUUCCUCUGGGUGGGAAGUUCCCGGGCUCUGCAGCACCCAACGCGGCCGCCCCCGGCGGCAUCGCCUGGCUGGGAGAAAGAGAAAAAGGUCUACCUUCAGGGCCCUGGCCUGCCUUCCACUCCGGGUCUCGACCUGCCGGAGCCGCGGUCCCAGGUGGGAGUUUGCAGGGCAGAGGGUCCCGCCAGGGUCGCGAAAACCGGAGAAGAGGACCUCUGCCCGAGACGCGCAUCUCUCUCCGCGCCCGCUGGGGCCCGCCGGGUCCUGGGUUGGGGCUCGGUGCCCUAGGUUGACUCCCAGAGACUUGUUCCCUCGCCGCCGCCGCCGCCGCCGCCGAGAGCGGUGCCCUCGCCGGAUCCGGAUCAGCGAGCUUCCACCUCUGCCCAGGAUGCGAGCGCUGUGUCCGUCCCGGGAAGAAGUUAGGCGGCCGGUCCCCGGGCGGGUAGCGAGCGCACGGGACGCCGGCGGUGGCGGCGCCGGACUCGGGCUCAGCCACCGCCGCCCCAGACGAGUCCCCGCGACCGCGAGAGCGUCCCAGGCGGGCUGGACUCCCCCGGCGUCAAGAUCGCUCCCGACCCGGUUCAGGCCUCGCCCCGGGGGUCAAGGAGGCCCGAGACGAGGCGACCUGGCUCCCAGCUUCGGGGACCCCCCAGGUCAAGGUACUCCGCGCCCCGCCGCCCCAAGUCGCCGGCCCCGCGCCGCGCGCAGCGAGUCAUCAGAGGAUCUCGGACGCGGCGGCAGAGCCGACCAGGGCCCCCAUGGAGUUGGGGAGUUACCCCGCACCCCUAAAAGCCUCCACACACAUUCCCCGUUGAGAGUACGCACUUCCCCGCGUCCCAGCGCCUCCGCGGUGAGUCGAGCCGCAGCGCUCUGGGUCGGUGAAGGUGGCUCAGCGCGGGCGCUCCAGUCCCGACGUUCCCGGGGCAGAGAGCGACGUCCGGGGACGCACGGGACGGGUGCGCCCAGCGGCCGGGGCUGCGCCGGCCGAGGCGAGCGGCGAGAGGGGAGCGCUCCGGCGUUCAGGCAACAGCUACCCCUAGUGGGAGAGCCGCCCGGGGCCGCCGCCGCCCCGCG